rnacentral:rRNA from 1 species
AGGGAGCUUGCUCCCGGAUGUUAGCGGCGGACGGGUGAGUAACACGUGGGUAACCUGCCUGUAAGACUGGGAUAACUCCGGGAAACCGGAGCUAAUACCGGAUAGUUCCUUGAACCGCAUGGUUCAAGGAUGAAAGACGGUUUCGGCUGUCACUUACAGAUGGACCCGCGGCGCAUUAGCUAGUUGGUGGGGUAAUGGCUCACCAAGGCGACGAUGCGUAGCCGACCUGAGAGGGUGAUCGGCCACACUGGGACUGAGACACGGCCCAGACUCCUACGGGAGGCAGCAGUAGGGAAUCUUCCGCAAUGGACGAAAGUCUGACGGAGCAACGCCGCGUGAGUGAUGAAGGUUUUCGGAUCGUAAAGCUCUGUUGUUAGGGAAGAACAAGUGCGAGAGUAACUGCUCGCACCUUGACGGUACCUAACCAGAAAGCCACGGCUAACUACGUGCCAGCAGCCGCGGUAAUACGUAGGUGGCAAGCGUUGUCCGGAAUUAUUGGGCGUAAAGGGCUCGCAGGCGGUUUCUUAAGUCUGAUGUGAAAGCCCCCGGCUCAACCGGGGAGGGUCAUUGGAAACUGGGAAACUUGAGUGCAGAAGAGGAGAGUGGAAUUCCACGUGUAGCGGUGAAAUGCGUAGAGAUGUGGAGGAACACCAGUGGCGAAGGCGACUCUCUGGUCUGUAACUGACGCUGAGGAGCGAAAGCGUGGGGAGCGAACAGGAUUAGAUACCCUGGUAGUCCACGCCGUAAACGAUGAGUGCUAAGUGUUAGGGGGUU